rnacentral:tRNA from 2 species
UGGGUUGGCCGAGAGGUUAGGCACCGGCCUGCAAAGCCGUUUACACCGGUUCGAAUCCGGUACC